UACGGAAGGUGCGAGCGUUGUUCGGAGUGAUUGGGCGUAAAGCGCACGUAGGCGGGUUUGUAAGUCGGUUGUGAAAUCCCUGGGCUCAACCCAGGAGGUCAUCCGAGACUGCAGAUCUUGAAUGCCUGAGAGGUUAGUGGAAUUCCUGGUGUAGGAGUGAAAUCCGUAGAUAUCAGGAGGAACACCGUGGCUAAGGCGGCUCUCUAGUACGGUACUGACGCUGAGACGGCGAAAGCGU
rnacentral:rRNA from 1 species